UACAGAGGGUGCGAGCGUUAAUCGGAAUUACUGGGCGUAAAGCGUGCGUAGACGGUCAAGUAAGUCGGGUGUGAAAGCCCCGGGCUCAACCUGGGAAUUGCAUUCGAGACUGCGUGGCUAGGGUGCGGAAGAGGGAAGCGGAAUUUCCGGUGUAGCGGUGAAAUGCGUAGAUAUCGGAAGGAACACCAGUGGCGAAAGCGGCUUCCUGGUCCAGCACCGACGUUCAGGC
rnacentral:rRNA from 1 species